GACGAACGCUGGCGGCGUGCUUAACACAUGCAAGUCGAACGAAGUGGCGAACGGGUGAGUAACGCGUAAUCAACCUGCCCUUCAGAGGGGGACAACAGUUGGAAACGACUGCUAAUACCGCAUACUUAAGGCGGGGAUUGCGUCUGAUUAGCUAGUUGGAGGGGUAACGGCCCACCAAGGCGAUGAUCAGUAGCCGGGCUGGGAGGAUGAACGGCCACAUUGGGAAGGGGACAAGGCCCAGACUCCUACGGGAGGCAGCAGUGGGAAAACGUGCGCAAUGGACGAAAGUCUGACGGAGCAACGACGCGGGAGUGAUGACGGCCUUCGGGUUGUAAAGCUAUGUUAAUCGGGACGCGGUACCGGAAUAGAAAGCCACGGCUAACUACGUGCCAGCAGCCGCGGUAAUAC
rnacentral:rRNA from 1 species